GAUGAACGCUGACAGAAUGCUUAACACAUGCAAGUCUACUUGAAUUUGGGUUUUUUAACUUAGAUUUGGGUGGCGGACGGGUGAGUAACGCGUAAAGAACUUGCCUCACAGCUAGGGACAACAUUUGGAAACGAAUGCUAAUACCUGAUAUUAUGAUUAUAAGGCAUCUUAGGAUUAUGAAAGCUAUAUGCGCUGUGAGAGAGCUUUGCGUCCCAUUAGCUAGUUGGAGAGGUAACGGCUCACCAAGGCGAUGAUGGGUAGCCGGCCUGAGAGGGUGAACGGCCACAAGGGGACUGAGACACGGCCCUUACUCCUACGGGAGGCAGCAGUGGGGAAUAUUGGACAAUGGACCAAGAGUCUGAUCCAGCAAUUCUGUGUGCACGAUGACGUUUUUCGGAAUGUAUAGUGCUUUCAGUUGGGAAGAAAAAAAUGACGGUACCAACAGAAGAAGUGACGGCUAAAUACGUG
rnacentral:rRNA from 1 species